UUCUGGACAGUACUGACGCUGAGAUGCGAAGCGUGGGGAGCAAACAGGAUUAGAUACCUGGUAGUCCACGCUGUAAACGAUGUCGAUUUGGAGUUUGUUGCCUAGAGUGAUGGGCUCCGAAGCUAACGCGAUAAAUCGACCGCCUGGGGAGUACGGCCGCAAGGUUAAAACUCAAAUGAAUUGACGGGGGCCCGCACAAGCGGUGGAGCAUGUGGUUUAAUUCGAUGCAACGCGAAGAACCUUACCUGGUCUUGACAUCCAUAGAAUUCUGCAGAGAUGUGGGAGUGCCUUCGGGAACUAUGAGACAGGUGCUGCAUGGCUGUCGUCAGCUCGUGUUGUGAAAUGUUGGGUUAAGUCCCGCAACGAGCGCAACCCUUAUUCUUUGUUGCCAGCGAUUUGGUCGGGAACUCAAAGGAGACUGCCGUUGAUAAAGCGGAGGAAGGUGGGGACGACGUCAAGUCAUCAUGGCCCUUACGACCAGGGCUACACACGUGCUACAAUGGCGUAUACAAAGGGAAGCGAAGGUGCGAGCUGGAGCGGAUCUCAUAAAGUACGUCUAAGUUCGGAUUGGAGUCUGCAACUCGACUCCAUGAAGUCGGAAUCGCUAGUAAUCGUAGAUCAGAAUGCUACGGUGAAUACGUUCCCGGGCCUUGUACACACCGCCCGUCACACCAUGGGAGUGGGUUGCACCAGAAGUAGAUAGCUUAACCGCGAGGGGGGCGUUUACCACGGUGUGAUUCAUGACUGGGGUGAAGUCGUAACAAGGUAACCA
rnacentral:rRNA from 1 species